CUACGAGCGUGCACUACAAUAGAAUUACAAAUAUGUCAAUAAAAUCAGUAAGUUACAAAUUUCUUCUAUUACAAAAGAUUUUCCCCAACUAAAAAUGUUUAUAGUUAAUGUAUUAACCAUUUGAUAUUAGCGACGUAUGAAGGAGGAGGUUUGAUAGUUAAUCAGGAUUAUUUUCCUUUUGUCUCCUUUCCCUUGGCAUAAAAUAACGAGGUCAAAUUUGAUCGUUUUCCAAGAAAAUAGCGUAUUGUUUUUCCUUCUCUUACGUGAUUCAAGCGCCAGGGAAGCCAAUGGAGGAGGAUGGCAUGAUGCUUCGGAAAAAUCACUCUCUUGGUAAUGCCAAAAAGUCAUCGGAAUGCCUUCUAAGAACAUUACAUGUCGUAGCCAUCAAAUACUUUCAUUUCAUUUUAUUAAUGAGGAUGCUCUAAUGGAAGAACGGUUUGCCUCAAUUAAGCCGUAUUAGACUCUUCAAGGCAACCCUUGGCUUCAGUUAUCUCAAUCCCUUAAAGAAUUCUUUUCAUGGUAAGUCAUUAACAUGUUAUCGAUACACUGCUAUAUUCUCUUCACAAGAUUCCCUGGCCAUUUUGGAUUCUUGAUGAGAUUUACGUGUUGAAUUUGACCGAGGGCUGAAUAUCGAUCAAAUUCAUCCUGUCUGGAAAAAUGAGCUUCAGAUUUUAUGUUUUACUCAUUCAAGUACUAGGAUUUUUUAUGCUAUGUAAUGUGGAUUUGUUCCGCUGAUGCUUAUCCUGGACCUUCGGAAUAGCAAGAUAUACAAUAGCCUUUUCACGAUGAAGGAAACGAUGCCUUUUUAGUCUAGGACAUAUAAACCAAAGAGAACCACACGUGGAGGUAGUUCUGAUGUGAGAUUAAGAAUGAAGUGACUGUGUAAUGGAUUGUUUGUUUUGGCACCGGAAUGAGGGCAGAGCUGGACGCGUUCUUGCUCUGUGAGAGUUUUGGUGUCAAGACUACUCUAAAAGAUUUGGUAGUAACCGAAUCAGUGGAUGACAAAUUGAUCUCAUGAUGUUGCACCAAUUUGCAGGAGCUGUUAAUGCCCUUUUUAGGGAUGGUUUUUUGGUUUUUGAAGCAGCUAUUUGAAUUGAUGCAGUUUAUGAAGGUUGCAAUUCAUAAUUAUAGUUCUUGACAGUUCAGGCAGCUUGAGACUCUGGAAUUAUAUCCUUUAACUCCUGAUUUGUCUAAGGAUUAAUACUUGACAGCAAUUUCCUUAUGAACUUGAGGAAAAUAUCGAUCAUAAUGUGUGAUUCCUAAUGCUGAAGAUUGAACAUUUUAACAUUAGAAACAGAGGACGCAUAUGCGGAGUCUAAGGAUUUCUGUUCGAUAUUCUUUUGCUCCAGAGAGAACUUACUUUUUUAGCUAGGACGUUCCUGGCUAGAUGCCAAAGAAGCUGUUGGCCAACGAUUCAAAUAUCUUUCUUCGUCGUCCUUAUGGUAAAAUCAAGUUCGCUCCCCUACUCAUGAUAUUGUUAGCAUUAGUUAAUUAAGUACAGAGGUAUAGAGUAGUAUGUUCGAUUCGCAUUACUUAGCGUUCUAAAUUUGUCCGCAGAUCUAGGGUUUUGAACCUCUGUGGCCGCUUUAUGUUCUUGUUCCUGAAAUUAUAGUUGAAUUCCAUUGUCAGUUUCCAUUAUUCUCCCAAUCUACAGGAAAGGAAAAACAGAGGCACUUCACAGUAGUCUCUUUUCUUUUCCCAUUUGUUGCAACAGAACAAGAACAGACAGACACAGACAGCAGGAAGAAAAAAAAAGUUACAGAAGAAAGGGGUGAUCGUGAAGUGAGGUGAAGGGAUCUGAGUUGAUGCAUCCACUGAACGAGGACAGAGAAUCAGAGGGCUUGUGCACAUAUCUUCCGGCAAGCAAAGCGGCUUUCGUGACAAGAGAGAGGAUGUCGACGACAUCCUCGACUUAUGCAUUUGCUUCCUUAAACGUUCGCACUCUGGAGUUCUUGACGUUGGCCAUGCAGCUCAGUGAGUUUUCGCUGCGCUCCUGGCUCAGAUAGUCAUAUGCACAACCCCCACCAGGUCUCUGUCACUGCUCCUAUAUAUUUAUGUGGGCGGUACGAGCUGUGUUUACAUAAAAGAUCAAAUUAAAACGUCAUUUGAUUUCUUCAUCA